rnacentral:piRNA from 1 species
UGCCUGACUGGAAUUUGUUUGUGUACAAG